CGGCGGACGGGUUAGUAACGCGUGGGAACGUGCCCAGAUCUAAGGAAUAGCCACUGGAAACGGUGAGUAAUACCUUAUACGCCCUUCGGGGGAAAGAUUUAUCGGAUUUGGAUCGGCCCGCGUUAGAUUAGGUAGUUGGUGGGGUAAUGGCCUACCAAGCCUACGAUCUAUAGCUGGUUUUAGAGGAUGAUCAGCAACACUGGGACUGAGACACGGCCCAGACUCCUACGGGAGGCAGCAGUGGGGAAUCUUGGACAAUGGGGGCAACCCUGAUCCAGCCAUGCCGCGUGAGUGAUGAAGGCCUUAGGGUCGUAAAGCUCUUUCGCCUGUGAUGAUAAUGACAGUAGCAGGUAAAGAAACCCCGGCUAACUCCGUGCCAGCAGCCGCGGUAAUACGGAGGGGGUUAGCGUUGUUCGGAAUUACUGGGCGUAAAGCGCGCGUAGGCGGAUUAGUCAGUUAGAGGUGAAAUCCCAGGGCUCAACCCUGGAACUGCCUUUAAUACUGCUAGUCUUGAGUUCGAGAGAGGUGAGUGGAAUUCCGAGUGUAGAGGUGAAAUUCGUAGAUAUUCGGAGGAACACCAGUGGCGAAGGCGGCUCACUGGCUCGAUACUGACGCUGAGGUGCGAAAGUGUGGG
rnacentral:rRNA from 1 species